AACGAACGCUGGCGGCAUGCCUAACACAUGCAAGUCGAACGAGAUCUUCGGGUCUAGUGGCGCACGGGUGCGUAACGCGUGGGAAUCUGCCCUUUGGUUCGGCGUAACAGUUGGAAACGACUGCUAAUACCGGAUGAUGACGAAAGUCCAAAGAUUUAUCGCCAGAGGAUGAGCCCGCGUAGGAUUAGCUAGUUGGUGUGGUAAAGGCGCACCAAGGCGACGAUCCUUAGCUGGUCUGAGAGGAAGAUCAGCCACACUGGGACUGAGACACGGCCCAGACUCCUACGGGAGGCAGCAGUGGGGAAUAUUGGACAAUGGGCGAAAGCCUGAUCCAGCAAUGCCACGUGAGUGAUGAAGGCCUUAGGGUUGUAAAGCUCUUUUACCCGGGAUGAUAAUGACAGUACCGGGAGAAUAAGCUCCGGCUAACUCCGUGCCAGCCGCCGCCGUAA
rnacentral:rRNA from 1 species